CCUACGGGUGGCAGCAGUGGGGAAUAUUGGACAAUGGGGGGAACCCUGAUCCGGCCAUGCCGCGUGUGUGAAGAAGGCCCUCGGGUUGUAAAGCACUUUCAGUGAGGAAGAACGCCUGGUGGUUAAUACCCAUCAGGAAAGACAUCACUCACAGAAGAAGCACCGGCUAACUCCGUGCCAGCAGCCGCGGUAAUACGGAGGGUGCGAGCGUUAAUCGGAAUUACUGGGCGUAAAGCGCGCGUAGGUGGCUUGAUAAGCCGGUUGUGAAAGCCCCGGGCUCAACCUGGGAACGGCAUCCGGAACUGUCAAGCUAGAGUGCAGGAGAGGAAGGUAGAAUUCCCGGUGUAGCGGUGAAAUGCGUAGAGAUCGGGAGGAAUACCAGUGGCGAAGGCGGCCUUCUGGACUGACACUGACACUGAGGUGCGAAAGCGUGGGUAGCAAACAGGAUUAGAUACCCCAGUAGUC
rnacentral:rRNA from 1 species